GAUUUGACCAAGAAGCAAAAAGGCUACAAUGACCGAAGAUGGAUCCCAAGGAAAAUCCUAUUGUUUGGCUAGUAGGUGUGGUCUGAAAGCUGGGGUGAAGUUUUGAAGCUGAAAUUCUCAAGAGAAUGACAGGUUUUGUGCUAUGCCAUGGGCACCUAUUCCUCUGCCAUGCUGUCCUGCCUGGAAGCCAUCAGACUACGGACUGAAACCUCUAUAUAAACUUUUGUCAGCUGCUGAGUGGUGUAAAAUUCUUUUGCCGAGGAACAAGACCAUCCCAGUCAACUCCAUCCCACAGCCUGGCCAGUCAGCAGAGCGGACACCAUCUUAGGCCUCUUAUUUUUUCUUUUGCCCAAGUGUCUGAAAGGAGCAUCCUCUUUAAUUUAAGCCUACAUGUGGAGGCCUGGAUUCCAGAGUCUUUGGGAAUGAAAACCAGAUCAUCGCCCAGCAUCGAGCUUCCCAUGCUUGGCAGAGAAGGCUCUGCAUGCCGAGUGAACAUCCUUGCCUGUGACUCCCGAACAACAUAAACAGCUGUUUCUUGAAGACAGACAAGGAAGAGUAAAAUGGUUGGGAGAGAGAGAGUCUAUACAUUAAUGUCCAGCACCGAGUGAGCCCUUGUGAAGUGUGGACCUUGGAGAGCAUGUCAAGCAGUCUCAUUCAUUUUAACAAAUGCACCGUACUGGUGGGGGAUGAGGAGAAAGGACCAGGUGGGGGCACAAGGAAGAAUGCUGCAACCUGUUUCCUGAGAUGAAGUAUGGCUCUUAGAGACGGGCAUUUGGUGCACAGACUUCGGCCGGAAUACCUUUGCUCCUCCACACGUUCUAACUGGCAAAAACAACCUCAGACUGCAGUAGGGAAAUAUCUGAAAUGAUCCUGCAAGAUAUUUGUCUCCUCAACUUGGAUAUACUCUGAAGCUAAAGCUUUACUUCUAAUGAGUAGCAUAUAGUAAGAAUGCCAGCUGCAAUGCUGUGAGCCUCUCCACAGGAGGCCCACAGAGUGAGGAACUAGGAGAGGCACCUGUCAUCAGCCAGUGAGCAUGAAGGCCCUUGGUCCAAUGGCUUAAGAACUGGAUUCUGCACGAACACCCUGUGACCUUGGAAAUGGGUAUUUCCCCAGUCAAAGCUUCAGAUGAUGAAGCAAAGUUGAGAACACUCCCUGCCCGGUGUGCGGUGUAGAAGCAGAGGGUGGGAAGAAUCCGACUCCACUCCAGUUCCCCAGCCAAGCUCUGUCCACAGCGCCAC
rnacentral:lncRNA from 1 species